AACACUUAAUGCUGCUGUGGCCACCCAGCUCUAGUCUAUUCUAGGUGGAAAAUGAGAAACAAGGGUGGAAACAACACGUAUUUCCUGUGUGUGUGUGUGUAUGUGCAUGUGUGUGCAUUUGCAUGCAUGCACACACAUAUACUUAAUGCCUUUGCUGGCUAUCAACUUUUCUUACAACUGUGUGCUUCCAAAUGAUUUUUAAAUUUCAAUGUGUUUUUGGCAGAGGAUAGAUUUCCUUUCCAUGAAUAUAAGGUAGUGAGAGCAAAGGCACUAAGUAGAAACAGUCUGAAAGUCAAAGGAAUACUGUUAAAGAUCCCUCUCCUUUUCCUUUUCCUGUAAAAGAUAGGGUAGGAAGUGGCAUGUGGCUAGAGGAUUUACAGCCACAUGAUGGAGGACGGGAGAGCUGUCACCUGCUUUGCUACGCAGGGUGCCCAGCUUAACCCAUCUUUCUUUGGCAACUGUGCCCCAGUGAGAAAAGCUAGCAGUCCAUAUGUUGAGUAGGCACCAUGCCAUUUUGACAGGCGUGAGUGUCGGCAAGAAAGGGACCAUGUAUGAGCAUCAAAUGUGUUUGUUGUGGGAAGGAUUCUAGGCCAGGAAUAUUAAAAUAACUGUCUGUCCUUAGCUCUAGCACAUAUGGUUAAGGAGAUAUGCUAUGAUGACUCACAUUAACGUUGGAAAAAAUAUAUAUAGAAUACGCAACCAUGCUAAGUAAGUUUCUGAUGUUGAUAAAUUGGGCCUGUAAUCUUCACAAAGAAAGGUUGUAGAGAAACAUACAUAGCAAUAAUAGACUCUCUUUUAUGUAUUAAAUAGAAUUUACUAAAGACUAAAUUCAUACACUAUUAUAGUUCUCCUGAACUGGUGAACAAAUUGGAGGAUCCUAUUAGAUUUUUGCUGAGAGGUCCUCAGGUAUUUCCUAACACUAUUUGAAAAGUAAAUGGGAUAAAAUGGGUU
rnacentral:lncRNA from 10 species